rnacentral:rRNA from 1 species
CCUACGGGGGGCAGCAGUGGGGAAUAUUGGACAAUGGGCGAAAGCCUGAUCCAGCCAUGCCGCGUGUGUGAAGAAGGCCUUCGGGUUGUAAAGCACUUUCAGUGGGGAAGAAAGCCUUGGGGCUAAUACCCUCGAGGAAGGACAUUACCCACAGAAGAAGCACCGGCUAACUCCGUGCCAGCAGCCGCGGUAAUACGGAGGGUGCGAGCGUUAAUCGGAAUUACUGGGCGUAAAGCGCGCGUAGGCGGUCUGAUAAGCCGGUUGUGAAAGCCCCGGGCUCAACCUGGGAACGGCAUCCGGAACUGUCAGGCUAGAGUGCAGGAGAGGAGGGUAGAAUUCCCGGUGUAGCGGUGAAAUGCGUAGAGAUCGGGAGGAAUACCAGUGGCGAAGGCGGCCUUCUGGACUGACACUGACGCUGAGGUGCGAAAGCGUGGGUAGCAAACAGGAUUAGAUACCCCAGUAGUC